UGAUUGCGAGCUCACGUGGAGAGUUUGUUCGUGCCUCAAGCUCAUUUGUGAAUCGUGAAUCAAAAGCAGGGGAGAAAUAACGCUGAAUAGGCCCUCUGUGAGAUUUGGAUUGUGUUCAAUAAUUCAGGAUCCAAAUGUAUGGCAGGAACAAAGGAGUUCAGGAAGAACAUAAAGAUGACCACCCCAAGGACAGUCAGACACUUGACCAGGAGGAUUUUGUCAGUUAUUCUGUGCUGUAAAAGAC